UUAGAGUUUGAUCAUGGCUCAGGAUGAACGCUAGCUACAGGCUUAACACAUGCAAGUCGAGGGGCAGCAUGAACAAAGCUUGCUUUGUUUGAUGGCGACCGGCGCACGGGUGCGUAACACGUAUCCAAUCUGCCCGCGGCUCGGGGAUAGCCCAUCGAAAGAUGGAUUAAUACCCGAUGGCGUGGUUUCUCCGCAUGGAGUUUCCACUAAAGGUUUUCCGGCCGCGGAUGAGGAUGCGUAUGAUUAGGUAGUAGGCGGGGUAACGGCCCACCAAGUCGACGAUAGCUAGGGGAUCUGAGAGGACGGUCCCCCACACUGGUACUGAGACACGGACCAGACUCCUACGGGAGGCAGCAGUAAGGAAUAUUGGGCAAUGGAGGCAACUCUGACCCAGCCAUGCCGCGUGAAGGAAGAAGGCCCUACGGGUCGUAAACUUCUUUUGUCAGGGAAUAAAGUCGCCCACGUGUGGGCGUUUGCAGGUACCUGAAGAAUAAGCAUCGGCUAACUCCGUGCCAGCAGCCGCGGUAAUACGGAGGAUGCGAGCGUUAUCCGGAUUUAUUGGGUUUAAAGGGUGCGUAGGCGGGCCGUUAAGUCAGCGGUGAAAGUUCCCGGCUCAACCGGGUCAGUGCCGUUGAUACUGAUGGUCUUGAAUGCGGUCAAGGUAGGCGGAAUGUGAUGUGUAGCGGUGAAAUGCAUAGAUAUGUCACAGAACUUCCGAUAGCGAAGGGCAGCUUGCCGGGCCUGCAUUGACGCUGAGGCACGAAAAGCGUGGGGAUCAAACAGGAUUAGAUACCCUGGUAGUCCCACGCUGUAAAACGAAGGACACUCGUUGUCGGCGAUAGACAGUCGGCGGCUGAGCGAAAGUGAUAAGUGUCCCACCUGGGGAGUACGGUCGCAAGGCUGAAACUCAAAGGAAUUGACGGGGGCCCGCACAAGCGGUGGAGCAUGUGGUUUAAUUCGAUGAUACGCGAGGAACCUUACCCGGGUUAGAAUGCAGGAUGAGCAUUGCCGAAAGGUGAUGGUCUUCGGACAUCCUGCGAGGUGCUGCAUGGUUGUCGUCAGCUCGUGCCGUGAGGUGUCGGGUUAAGUCCCAUAACGAGCGCAACCCCUACCCUCAGUUGCCAGCUGGUAAAGCAGGGGACUCUGGGGGAACUGCCUGCGCAAGCAGAGAGGAAGGCGGGGAUGACGUCAAAUCAGCACGGCCCUUACGUCCGGGGCGACACACGUGCUACAAUGGUCGGCACAGAGGGCAGCCACCUGGUGACAGGGAGCUAAUCCAUAAAGCCGGUCUCAGUCCGGAUCGGAGUCUGCAACUCGACUCCGUGAAGCUGGAUUCGCUAGUAAUCGCGCAUCAGCCAUGGCGCGGUGAAUACGUUCCCGGGCCUUGUACACACCGCCCGUCAAGCCAUGGAAGCCGGGGGUGCCUGAAGUACGCGACCGUGAGGAGCGUCCUAGGGCAAAACUGGUGACUGGGGCUAAGUCGUAACAAGGUAACC
rnacentral:rRNA from 1 species